rnacentral:lncRNA from 1 species
GUGGGGUGAGUGGUCUCUCUGAAUUUCCCCUUGGCUCUGUGCCAGUGAAGCAUGUGAGAAGGGAUACCAGACACCUGCCCCCACCACACCCAAGAAAGAAGACUGGCUCAGGGGAAGUAGUGAGUCUGGGGAAAAGACUGUCCUCUGCUGUCCUCUUCAGUGCAUGUGCAUGGACACCCAUGUGCAGUUUCUUGCCUGGAUGAGUCACGGGAGCGGAGCUCUCUGUGUGGGCAUAGCUUUGGCAGUGUAUCAUGCUCCCCUCUAUGCCUCACUCCAUCCCUGGGUGGGUUCUGCACGUAGAGCCCAGACAGAGGAAUUUCCUUCUUUACACAGUGGGUGUUAAUCAACAUUUUGGGAAAUGCAAUUACAGGUUGGCAAGCUGUGGAAACCUCUGGGUUUCCCACACUUGGUCACCGUGGUCAUCAUCUAUGGCUCAGCUCUUUCAUUAGCUGCCAGGUACACUUAACCUCUCAUGGUGUCUGCAUGAGACGGGGAAUGUUUGCUGAAUUACUAAGGUGCCAGGCCACAGACAUACAUGUAUGCUUAGCACCAGGGUUUUCCUAAGAGAAUUAGGAACACAUUUUUUCUGGGAGCCAAAUGAUGCUUUCCAGCUGAGCGUUUUAGACUCCUGGCACUGCUGCUGUACUCUGGUGCAUAUUACUCAGCUUUUGUGCUGCCAGAAUGAAAUGUCAAUGCAAGUAACUGUCAGCCUCCCAGGAGGUGAAAUGGAGAGUACCGUUCCCCCCCCUCCUUAGGUAAGUGGUUUCAGGAUACAUCCCGGUCAGUUACGAGAAAAGUUAUGGGAUAUAUUGCCUGAGGUAGUGAGGAGGUUGACUUGCCAAUGCACAGUCCUCUUCCCAGUUCCCGAGAACACCCUGAAUACUGUGGAAAAAAUAAGGUUUUCCCAUUAUGUGUGCUUUCCUGAGUCAUUUCGCUAAAUUAUAUUCCCACUGCCAUUUUUUUUCCGCAUUCCUACACGGCUAUGCCCUGAGUACUAUGUUGAGUGAAAAGCUCCGUUAUCAAAAGUCAUAAUUCAUCUACCAGCUUUCAGAGGUCACCACUUAUUGGACAUUUAUAUGCUGACCUUAAGGCCUUGCCUAUACAUAAAGGCUGUACUGCUCUAGACUUAUUGGCAUAAUUAGAGUAAAACAAUCUCUCCCUUUCCCCCACUCCUCCUUGGUGUGGAUUCAGUCACCCAACUGUAAAGAUAUUUAUACAAGCCUAAGUUAC